rnacentral:rRNA from 1 species
UACGUAGGGAGCAAGCGUUGUCCGGAAUCAUUGGGCGUAAAGCGCGCGUAGGUGGCCUCAUAAGUCCGCUGUGAAAGUCAAAGGCUCAACCUUUGAAAGCCGGUGGAUACUGUGGGGCUAGAGUACGGAAGAGGCGAGUGGAAUUCCUGGUGUAGCGGUGGAAUGCGCAGAUAUUAGGAGGAACACCAAUAGCGAAGGCAGCUCGCUGGGACGUUACUGACACUGAGGCGCGAAAGCGUGGGGAGCGAACAGG